rfam:Pseudomonas fluorescens F113, complete genome.
GGUGGGGUGUUGCUCAGCCCGUUCCUGAUUUAUGUGGUGCUGGCGUUGCUGGUGACCGGUGCGUUGCGCCUGUCGCUCAGCCUGGUGCCGGCCGGGCGCUGGAUCUGGCAUGAAGCCUUGUUCGACUGCGCCCUG